CUUCAAGUCUUACCCUUCUCCUUCCAAAUAUACAUCAUCUCCUUGCCUAAGCUCUAUGCUGUUCCUCCUCUCUUCUCUUUUUUUGAUCAUGUAGAGAAGGGUUAUGUUUUUAUUUCUUUUUUCUUUGAUUUUAGUUAGCAUUUGCAAAGAUUGGUUUUUUAAAUAUUGGAUUUCUUUGGGGAAGUUCAUGCAAUAUUUCAUAAACUUGUACUUUCUCUUUCCUCUCUUUCUCUUCUAUUCUCUACCCCUUGCUGUAGAUUCAUUCUCUUUUUGUUCAUCCUCACAAUCAUGAGAACAAGAGUUGACCUAGUCUCUGCGCAAAGAAAGAAAGUUCACAAGGGAAAAAGUGAAGCUGCCAGCAUGAUCUAGCUUUGGUUACAGAUAUCAUAGAUGUAUAUAUGGAGAUAUCAUUGGUAACCCUAGCUAGGUCAUGCUCUGACAGCCUCACUCCUUCCCAUUUGGGACCCAAAAUACAUAGUAGCCAACCACUCCAACUUUGAAAGAAGAAAGCAGCAUAAAGUAGGCAUGAGAAAUCACUGGAACCGACUGCCUUGCAGUGAAAGGACGAAGAAGAACAGCAAGAGAAAAUUAUGCAGAACAGGGAUGUCAAGGCAACCGCAGGAAAUAUAUUAAUGCACAAACAUUGUAAAUAUUUGAUGUACUUUCUUGCGCAAACAUUGUAAAAAUUUGGACCAGGCUUCGGCCCAGUCACAUUCGCAAUUAA